GUGCUUCAGCAGAACAUGUACUAAAAUUGGAACAAUACAGAGAAGAUUAGCUCCUGUGCAAGCAUGACAUGCAAAUUUGUGAAGCAUUCCAUAUUUUU
ensembl:snRNA U6 U6 spliceosomal RNA